GACGAACGCUGGCGGCGUGCCUAAUACAUGCAAGUAGAACGCUGAAGCUUGGUGCUUGCACCGAGCGGAUGAGUUGCGAACGGGUGAGUAACGCGUAGGUAACCUGCCUGGUAGCGGGGGAUAACUAUUGGAAACGAUAGCUAAUACCGCAUAAGAGUAGAUGUUGCAUGACAUUUGCUUAAAAGGUGCAAUUGCAUCACUACCAGAUGGACCUGCGUUGUAUUAGCUAGUUGGUGAGGUAACGGCUCACCAAGGCAACGAUACAUAGCCGACCUGAGAGGGUGAUCGGCCACACUGGGACUGAGACACGGCCCAGACUCCUACGGGAGGCAGCAGUAGGGAAUCUUCGGCAAUGGACGGAAGUCUGACCGAGCAACGCCGCGUGAGUGAAGAAGGUUGUCGGAUCGGAAAGCUCUGUUGUAAGAGAAGAACGAGUGUGAGAGUGGAAAGUUCACACUGUGACGGUAUCUUACCAGAAAGGGACGGCUAACUACGUG
rnacentral:rRNA from 1 species